rnacentral:rRNA from 1 species
UACGGAGGGUGCAAGCGUUGUUCGGAAUUAUUGGGCGUAAAGCGCGUGUAGGCGGUUUGUUAAGUCUGAUGUGAAAGCCCUGGGCUCAACCUGGGAAGUGCAUUGGAUACUGGCAGACUUGAGUACGGGAGAGGGAAGUGGAAUUCCUAGUGUAGGAGUGAAAUCCGUAGAUAUUAGGAGGAACACCGGUGGCGAAGGCGGCUUCCUGGACCGAUACUGACGCUGAGACGCGAAAGCGUGGGGAGCAAACAGG